GUUCCUUCAGAGACAUCCGAUAAAAUUGGAACGAUACAUAAAAAAAUUAGCAAAGUCCUUGCGGAAGAAUGACACGCACAAUCGAGAUAUGCUCAAAAAGUAU
rfam:Nicotiana attenuata strain TT chromosome 5, whole genome shotgun sequence.